UACGGAGGGGGCAAGCGUUGUUCGGAAUUACUGGGCGUAAAGCGCGCGUAGGCGGACCUGUAAGUCGGGGGUGAAAGCCCGAGGCUCAACCUCGGAACUGCCUUCGAUACUGCGGGUCUCGAGUCCGGGAGAGGUGAGUGGAAUUCCUAGUGUAGAGGUGAAAUUCGUAGAUAUUAGGAAGAACACCAGUGGCGAAGGCGGCUCACUGGCCCGGUACUGACGCUGAGGCGCGAAAGCGUGGGGAGCAAACAGG
rnacentral:rRNA from 1 species